rnacentral:rRNA from 1 species
GAUGAACGCUGGCGGCGUGCCUAAUACAUGCAAGUCGAGCGGUAAGGUUCUGCACUCAGUAUUUGACCAGGUAAGUUCGCUGCAAAGCGAAUACUAUCUGCAGCGAUGUUCUCUAGGCUAGAGAACAGAGUCGAAUUAUGAGUGUAGAAUACACGAGCGGCGGACGGGUGAGUAACGCGUAGGAAUGUACCCCAAAGUGAGGGAUAAGCACCGGAAACGGUGUCUAAUACCGCAUGUGCUCUAAGGAGUAAAGCUUUAUGCGCUUUGGGAACAGCCUGCGUCUGAUUAGCUAGUUGGUGAGGUAAAAGCUUACCAAGGCGACGAUCAGUAGCUGGUUUGAGAGGAUGAUCAGCCACACUGGAACUGAGACACGGUCCAGACUCCUACGGGAGGCAGCAGUAGGGAAUUUUCCACAAUGGGCGAAAGCCUGAUGGAGCAACGCCGCGUGCAGGAUGAAGGCCUUCGG